UACGAAGGGGGCUAGCGUUGUUCGGAAUUACUGGGCGUAAAGGGCGCGUAGGCGGCGUGUCAAGUCAGGCGUGAAAGCCCCGGGCUCAACCUGGGAACCGCGCUUGAGACUGGCAUGCUCGAGUUCGGGAGAGGAUGGUGGAAUUCCCAGUGUAGAGGUGAAAUUCGUAGAUAUCGAGAGGAACACCGGUGGCGAAGGCGGCCUUCUGGACAGUGACUGACGCUGAGACGCGAAAGCGUGGGGAGCAAACAGG
rnacentral:rRNA from 1 species